rnacentral:lncRNA from 1 species
CAUAGCUGAGGAACCUUGGGGGUUGUAGUGAGGGGGGUAGCCUGCGCCAAGGGACGGUGGUGGUUCCAAUGAGUGGGUGACUUCUGAGUAAGAAUGAGUGUCAGAGGUGACAUCCCACUAGUGUGGAUGAACUAGGGAUUUUCAUCUAACUUUGGGUUGCAGCCGAGUGGGUGUGGCUAACAUCUGGUUCAAUGUGGGUCCUUCCUUCUUUCAUUCGCUCUGCAGAUAUUUAUGGACCUGCCGUGCCCUAGCUUUGUCCUAAGAGCUGGGGAUACAGAAGAGCAUUAAAAAAUAAUAAUAAUCCCUGCCUUCAGGACACUCACUCGUCAGUGGGUAAAGACCAUAAUGAUCGUGUUACUUGGACACAUGGAGGGAGGGAGGUGGUCUGAGUAGCUGUAGGUGGGCUCCGUGCUCACGUCUGGUUGAGUCUGGAUACUUCACUCAUCGGCCCAUUCAUUCAUUAUUUCCUCUAACCAGCGAAUAUUUCCUGAGCAUCUGCCGUGUGCUAGGCACUGGGGAAAUGGCGGGAAACAAUUCAGACCUAAACCUUGCCCUCGUGGCUGUCAUACCCAAUGUGAGUCGAUGCGGAUGACAUCUGAGUCACCUGAAUACACGGAUUGAGCAGGGCGCUCAGCUUAUGGGCGGCAUCUGCGCAUGAUUGUGCUGAGUUCCGGUGGGUAGUCAUUUGAAAACCUAUGGGUGGCAUUUGAGAGUAGGCACCUGAGUGUGUGCGUGGGUUUGAGUGAGUGAGGGUAACUUCUGAGUGAGGAGGGGUCACAAAGACCCGCUUCUCACUACGCGGGGACAGCGCGGGGACCAGCCGCGCAGUCGCAGUCGGAGCCAGAGAGAAGCCCUGCGUCCCGACAGUUGCCGUGGAGACCGUAGCUGCCCCCAGGCGCCUGCUGGGGUUUGCAGGAAACGGAGGGGACACACAGUGUUCUGGAUUUCAGGGUUUGCAGAAGGUCUUUUGCCAGAGUUGAGAACAACCCACGCACAGCCUGGAAGACUGUCAAGGUGACCCCUGCUCCACCAUCAUCAGGGGCCAGGUGUUGCGCAUGGCCCCGCUGGUGAGGGACAAGGGACCUAGACUCCCUAUCUUUACAUUCUUCUGGAAAUCCCGCCAUUGCAAAGUCUUGAGCGGUUUUCCGUCUUUCGAAGGGAUGUCCCUUGAAUGUACCUCUGGCUCGAAUUUGUCCCGAGGGUGCCACCUUGGUGAGCGGGCUCCCUGCUCACCACCACUGAGGAACUGUGCAUGACUCUCAAAAACUGUCGCUGUUCUCCACACGUUGUCUCUCUUGCAGAAGUGGUGAGACUGGGCGCUUCUGCCCUCAUUGGCCCUGGGGUGAAGAGUGGGUCUCCCCACAUUAAGUCCCAGAAGUCCUCCCGGGCGGGGGCGGGGCGGUCACUCCACUCUCUAAAGAAGGAAAGGCAAGGCUUCCCGUAAAAGAGAAGAAAAACUAAGUAAGAGUCCACUUUGAAGAGUCAUUAAGAAACACCGAGUCCCCAAUCCCGUGAGCUGAGUACCCUGGAUGGUGAUGAAGGAGAAAAGGAAUUAGAUAAAAUGCAAUUGUGAGUGUCCAGUCCUCUCUCCUUCAGGGACACCAGACUGAAUUUGCAAACCUCCAUCGGUUCAGGGAUCUGCAAAGGUUUGAAUGACUUUAUUUUCAAAAGUGUAAUUUACACACACACACACACACACACACAUGCUUAGAUUCUUAUCCACUGGAGCCCCCACAGUGUCUUAGGGGGGUGGGCAUCAGUCCUGUGUAGAACCUCCAGCACCCAUUCCCCUUUCUCAUUUUUUGGAAAGCUGUCCCCAACAACCCCUGACCAGAGCCAACCCCUCACCCUAACAGCCAGACCCCUCAGGUCCUGUUAGGUCCCCCUGGUCCAGCAAGCUUCAAGAAACCUAAGGAAUUUUUAGGAUUCACUUGGUUGAUGUAACCAAACCCCAACCUUGAAGACUCUGAUUGCUGCCCAUUUCCCAAGCGUUGACCUCAGCGUCUUUAUGUGUGUGUGUGUAUGUGUGUGUGUGUGUGUGUUCGCGCACAACAGUGGGAUGAAGCUUUUCCUGCCAUCCUCACAUAUAUAUUUGAACUUCUGCCCAUCCAUGGUCAAGAAGUCUGUAGCUCCAUACCGAUCUUUUCAUCUCCUAUAAAUCCCCGCCCAGGGCACAUCCACUUGCAGAACGUUCUACCACUCUGCUUCUUGUUCCCUCACAGUCUGAACUUGGAUAAAGGCCACACAGGUCCCAGCAUGUUUGUUGCAUGCAGACCGUGCUCCCUUCAGGGCACAACUGUUGUAUAGGACAAUGUGACAUUUCUUAUCAUCAUUUUGCCGUCCUGAGACAGUGUUUGUGCUUCUCAUGGGUUUGGGUGUCUCCCAUCUAGCUUUUGUAUUUGUGAUACACAACCUGAGUGUGUGUUGGUUUUGAUGCAUCAAAAUCACUUCCUUUCCGAGACUUUUUGGGACCCAUUGGAGAGUCUGACGGGGUUGCAAUGCACACCAUUAGAUUAAAAACCAUCAACCACCUUGAGUCAAGGCCUCACUAGCACAGCAGAUUCCAAGCAGGAAUUCCCAAGUAGAUUGGACAGGCCGCAGCUGCCUUUGUAAAGCCCCGAUUUCAAAGGUGGGUUUAGCUGAAACCCUUCAUUGCUUUUUGUGGUUGAUGUUCUAUUGUACAAAUAAGAAUUGGCAAAAUAAAUGUAU